rnacentral:rRNA from 1 species
GGCGGUAUGCUUACACAUGCAGUCGAACGCGAAAGUCCCUUCGGGGGCCGGUAGAGUGGCGCACGGGUGAGUAACGCGUAGAUAACCUACCCCCAUGUCUGGGACAACUUUUCGAAAGGAAGGCUAAUACCGGAUAAUACCUGAGACCUAGUGGUCUUCGGUUGAAAGAUUUUUCGCUUGGGGAUGGGUCUGCGUAACAUUAGCUAGUUGGUGAGGUAAGAGCUCACCAAGGCUUCGAUGUUUAGCGGGUCUGAGAGGAUGAUCCGCCACACUGGAACUGAGACACGGUCCAGACUCCUACGGGAGGCAGCAGUGGGGAAUUUUGCGCAAUGGACGAAAGUCUGACGCAGCAAUACCGCGUGAGUGAAGAAGGCCCUUGGGUCGUAAAGCUCUUUGUUUAGGGGAAGAAAUGACGGUACCAUAAGACUAAGCACCGGCUAACUCCGUGCCAGCAGCCGCGGUAAUACGGAGGGUGCAAGCGUUGUUCGGAUUUACUGGGCGUAAAGGGCGCGUAGGCGGCCAGAUAAGUUAAGGGUGAAAUCCCGGGGCUCAACCCCGGAACUGCUCUUAAAACUGUUUGGCUAGAGACAAAUAGAGGUGGGUGGAAUUCCAAGUGUAGCGGUGAAAUGCGUAGAUAUUCGGAGGAACACCGGUGGCGAAGGCGGCCCACUGGAUUUGUUCUGACGCUAAGGCGCGAAAGCAUGGGGAGCAAACGGGAUUAGAUACCCCGGUAGUCCAUGCCGUAAACGAUGAAUACCAGCUGUUUGACCCAUCGACCGGUCAAGUGGCGCAGCUAACGCGAUGAGUAUUCCGCCUGGGAAGUACGGUCGCAAGACUAAAACUCAAAGGAAUUGACGGGGGCCCGCACAAGCGGUGGAGCAUGUGGUUUAAUUCGACGCAACGCGAAGAACCUUACCUGGGUUUGACAUACCCGGACCACCCUGGAGACAGGGUUUUCUCUUCGGAGACCGGGUGACAGGUGCUGCAUGGCUGUCGUCAGCUCGUGUCGUGAGAUGUUGGGUUAAGUCCCGCAACGAGCGCAACCCUUGUCUUUAGUUGCCAGCGAUUCGGUCGGGAACUCUAGAGAGACUGCCGGUGUUAAACCGGAGGAAGGUGGGGAUGACGUCAAGUCAUCAUGGCCCUUAUGGGCAGGGCUACACACGUGCUACAAUGGUCGGUACAGAGGGUUGCUAUCCCGCGAGGGGGCGCUAAUCUCAGAAAGCCGAUCGUAGUCCGGAUUGGAGUCUGCAACUCGACUCCAUGAAGUCGGAAUCGCUAGUAAUCGCGAAUCAGAAUGUCGCGGUGAAUACGUUCCCGGGCCUUGUACACACCGCCCGUCACACCAUGGGAGUUGGCUGGACCAGAGUAGUAGCCUAACCGCAAGGGGCGCUACCACGUG